AGGAUGAACGCUGGCGUGCGUGCCUAAUACAUGCAAGUCGAACGGAGAAUGUAGCAAUACAGUCUUAGUGGCGAACGGGUGAGUAACGCGUUGGUAACCUGCCCCGAAGAGAGGGAUAACAAUUCGAAAGAGUUGCUAAUACCCCAUGUGAUCCUCAGCAUUAGAUGGCUGAUGAUUAAACGGAUUUAUUCGCUUCGGGAGGGGCCUGCGUCCCAUCAGCUAGUUGGUAGGGUAAUGGUCUACCCAGGCUAUGACGGGUAGGGGACCUGAGAGGGUGACCCCCUACACUGGCACUGAAACACGGGCCAGACACCUACGGGUGGCAGCAGUAGGGAAUAUUGGUAAUGGGCGAAAGCCUGAACCAGCAACGCCGCGUGUGCGAUGAAGGCCUUCGGGUCGUAAAGCACUUUUUAAGGGAAUGAGAAAGGACAGUACCCUUAGAAUAAGUCUCGGCUAACUACGUGCCAGCAGCCGCGGUAAAACGUAGGAGACGAGCGUUAUUCGGAUUUACUGGGCGUAAAGCGCAUGCAGGUGGUUUGGUAAGUUGGAUGUGAAAGCUCCUGGCUUAACUGGGAGAGGUCGUUCAAAACUGCCAGACUUGAGAAUGGGAGAGGGGAGGUGGAAUUCCGGGUUGUAGU
rnacentral:rRNA from 1 species